AGUGAACGCUGGCGGCAGGCCUAACACAUGCAAGUCGAACGGCAGCACAGUAGAGCUUGCUCUAUGGGUGGCGAGUGGCGGACGGGUGAGGAAUGCGUCGGAAUCUGCCUAUUUGUGGGGGAUAACGUAGGGAAACUUACGCUAAUACCGCAUACGACCUACGGGUGAAAGUGGGGGACCUUCGGGCCUCACGCAGAUAGAUGAGCCGACGCCGGAUUAGCUAGUUGGCGGGGUAAAGGCCCACCAAGGCGACGAUCCGUAGCUGGUCUGAGAGGAUGAUGAGCCACACUGGGACGGAGACACGGCCCAGGCUCCUACGGGAGGCAGCGGUGGGGAAUAUUGGACAAUGGGCGCAAGCCUGAUCCAGCCAUGCCGCGUGUGUGAAGAAGGCCUUCGGGUUGUAAAGCACUUUUGUCCGGAAAGAAAUCCAAUCGAUUAAUACUCGGUUGGGAUGACGGUACCGGAAGAAUAAGCACCGGCUAACUUCGUGCCAGCAGCCGCGGUAAAAC
rnacentral:rRNA from 1 species